GCCGCUCACCCCAUUCUUCUUCAUCUUUUCUAAAACCUAGCCGUCCCUCCAUCUCUCUCAACCCUAAACCAUCUUCCCCUUCUCCGUAAAACCCAGAGGCCGAGAGGCCUGAGUCCACAUCACAACUCGCCACUCCGGCGAGCCUCAACUCCAUCAAACAACCACUAGCUCCCUGGACUCCCCUUUCUUUUCUCUGUAAACACCGAGGCGCACCAACGCCUCCAUUUUCCGGCAAAACAUGACUACAGCACCACCACCACUCGCUCCAUCUCACAGAACCACUAUCACUCACUCUGUUCUGCUCAGGAGACACAGGCGAGGCCUUUCACUGUGCACUGGCUCCGCCACUGUUCGUCGACUUCUCCUACGAGACUCACCUCUCCUGACCUCGAGAGAGAAAGUGGCAGCAGCAGCAGUGGGAAGGAAUAAGGACUAUUCUUGUCUCUGUGAUCGUCUCUGCCCUUCGAAGCUCUAGGGUUUGGCUUUGGCUCUGUUAGUUGUUGAGAGCGAAAGAUAUGUUGUUAACAAGGGCAAAAACAAGAUGCAGUUUGCUGCAUAUAGAAAACAGAGGGAUCCUAUUGAAAAGCAAUGAAGAAGAAUUGAAUUAUUCUAUUGCAGAGCUCAAGAUAAACUACGCUUCUUUACCAGAAAAAUUUACGAAAUAAGAGUUGGAUAAGAUGGGUGCAACAGAGCACAUAGGACAAGUUUUCAAACGAAUUAAGAUCCAGCUGAAAAGAGCAUACAAGAUAGAUAACUGUUAAGAAACGAUGCCUUUCAGAAUUUGUAAUUUUUUGUUGGGGUUUUUUCAAGCUGCUGUGUUAAAGUGUGCGUGAGCGUAUGUGUAUGCAGUAUAUGUGAGUGCAUGCAGUGUCACUUGGGCCGUUGGCUUUUUGAGGUAUGUUCAUUUAUAGAGAUUUUGUAACUGUAUUGUUGAAUUUUUAAUGUAUUCUUGGAUUUUAAAGGGGCACCAUAUUUAUGGGUUGUUGUACGAUUCUAGGGAGAUAAAGAGGGGAUUGAGAGGUCAUGCUAAGGAGAGUAUAUUACUUGAGAACUUUUUUGGAAACCAUCUCUUUCUAAUCAAAGACGUUCAGUUUCGUCCCACUCAUUGUACAAUGUGUUUAUAUGCCAGCUCACUUGAA